CGCAAUGGGCGAAAGCCUGAUGGAGCAACGCCGCGUGCAGGAUGAAGGCCUUCGGGUUGUAAACUGCUUUUAUAUGUGACGAUUUUGACGGUAGCAUAUGAAUAAGGAUCGGCUAACUCCGUGCCAGCAGCCGCGGUCAUACGGAGGAUCCAAGCGUUAUCUGGAAUUACUGGGCGUAAAGAGUUGCGUAGGUGGCAUGGUAAGUUGGUAGUGAAAGCCUGGGGCUCAACCCCUUACACAUUACCAAAACUGCCAAGCUAGAGGAUGAGAGAGGUUAUUGGAAUUCCUAGUGUAGGAGUGAAAUCCGUAGAUAUUAGGAGGAACACCGAUGGCGUAGGCAGAUAACUGGCUCAUUCCUGACACUAAGGCACGAAAGCGU
rnacentral:rRNA from 1 species